UGUCGAGUAACUUCUUUUUUUUUAAUUAUUUUUUAAAUUUUGUUCCGUGUGUUUCUUUUCCCAUGAUUAUAAUGCGAAGGAUUCCAUUCUUGCUUCAUCAUGUGAAAAGAGAUGAAUUUGGGUAUUGAUGGAUGGUUUCAUAGAAAGAGAGGAAGGAGGUUUUCUCUUUUUUUUUUCCCCCUAUAUUUCCUUUUUUUUAAAUAUUUCCCCUACUUUUUGCCCUUUUAUAGUCUUCUUUCCUCGGUCGUUAAAUAACUUUGUGGACUUGGUUUGAGUAUGAGCACUCUGUUGUUGGUCUAUUCAUAAAAAAGAAUUCUAUUGGAGCAAGAACAGAGAGUUCUCACGUAGCGGCAACCUUAAAUAAUCUUUUUUGCCCUUUUCAUCUGGCGUCUCUCUUUGUUUCAAUUUUAAUAAUUGUGUAUUUCACGUGAAUUGGGAAAUUUGGUGUUGUUGGACAUAUUCAUGUUUCAAAACAAAGCAGUUACUAUAAGUGGCAAUCAAAGGGUAAAGAAGGGGAAGAAAGCAAAGAUAGCUCUCCUGGAAUCUUCCGAAGAAAAUCUCAGAAUUAGGAAGAGUAGGAGACAUUUGAGUUCCAUUAGCUACCUGCCAUGGCCAUGCCAUGGAGCUCUGCCAUCUACCUGAUGAAAAUAGUGUGGAUGAUCUUGAGAGGCUGGAUCUCUUCAUGUCUGAUGGUCGCCAACGAGAUUGCUCGUGCACUUAGAACUGGAGACAUCGGCCUACUGCCUGUAGGCUGACCAUCCCAGCCUUCCCAAGUGUUGAGUAGGUCUCCAUCUCUCUCGCUCCUUGCGAUCCUUUUUUGCUCUUUACUUAUUGAAUAGAAUCUUGUCGAAUCUCUUGUUAUUAUAGUUGAGUGAAUUAUGUAGUCCUUUAGUCUUGUUUAACUCACUCUCUUGUUAAUCUUUUAUUGUUGGGUUGGAUUUUCUUCAGAAGUUACCAACCAAACACAGUAUGUUGCCUAAUGAUUUCCUCUAAGAGAUAGAGAGAAAGAUAGAGAGAGAGAGGAAUUUGCUAACCAUGUCAGCUUUUUGUUUAAUAUAAAGCAUCAAAUGAUUUGAUUAGCAUGCCCGAGUAGAUGCAUGAUUGUUGA